ACCGGGUGACCGCCUAGUCGUG
rnacentral:miRNA from 1 species